GAUGAAGAACGCAGCGAAAUGCGAUAAGUAGUGUGAAUUGCAGAAUUCAGUGAAUCAUCGAAUCUUUGAACGCACAUUGCGCCCCUUGGUAUCCCGAGGGGCAUGCCUGUUCGAGCGUCAUUUCACCACUCAAGCCUGGCUUGGUGUUGGGCGACGUCCUCUUUGGGGACGCGCCUCGAAACGCUCGGCGGCGUGGCACCGGCUUUAAGCGUAGCAGAAUCUUUCGCUUUGGAAGUCGGGGCCCCGGCUGCCGGAAGACCUGCUCGCAAGGUUGACCUCGGAUCAGGCAGGGAUACCCGCUGAACUUAAGCAUAUCAAUAAGCGGAGGA
rnacentral:misc_RNA from 1 species